rnacentral:lncRNA from 10 species
UCACUUUGCGGCCACUAUGAGGACUGAGCUUCCUCUCCCCAGGACCCGCAUGGGAGAGACCGCGGCUUCGAGACACCUGGGGACACCUGGGGACACCUGGGGCGGCGUCCGCGGUGAGGACUGGGAGACGCUGCUGCAUCUCCGGGACACCACUUGGGGCCGAGGCCAAGGACCCACCCAGGAGGGGCCAUGGCUUCGAGACACCUGAGGACACCUGGGGCCACGUCCGCGAUGAGGACAUCUCUGGGACACCUGGGGCUGCAUCUCCGGGACACCUGGGGCUGACCCUGGUACGGGGAAAGGAGGAGGAACACAGAGACGCCCUCGUGAGGUCGGGGACCAGCAGGCACCACAGUCUAAGGCCAAUGAAACAGGCGCCCCUAGAUGAGUGCUCGGUGUUUGUUUUGUUUUGUUUUCUUUUGAGAAGGAGUUUCGCUCUUGCUCCCCAGGCUGGAGUGCGAUGUCGCGAUCUCGACUCACUGCAACCUCUGCCUCCCGGGUUCAAGCGAUUCUCCUGCCUCAGCCUCCCGAGUAGCUGGGAUUACAGUCAUGCGCCAUCACGCCCGGCUAAUUUUGUAGUUUUAGUAGAGACGGUGUUUCUCCAUGUUGAUCAGGCUGGUCUCGAACUCCUGAUCUCAGGUGAUCCACCCACCUCGGCCUCCCAAAGUGCUGGAAUUACAGGCGUGACCCACUGGGCCCGGCCAGUGCUUUGUGUUUUAAGGCUCUUUUGUUAACGCAGUGGAAACAACACAGGAAAUGGAAAAGCAGGCACAUUAUCAUUCUCAGGCCACUGCAUUUAGCCUGGGCGACAGAGCGAGACCUUGUCUCAAAAAACAAAAACAAAUGAAAACAAAAACAAACCAUUUUGUGUGUCUAAUGGAAGUGACCUCGUCAACAACAGUCUUUUGUUGAGAAAGUCUGUUUAAUUGGCAGUGUAUUUGUAAUGGUACAUAAAAUGACGUCUGCUUUAUAAGCAUUCUCAUUCCUAUAUUAGAUGAAAUGUAUUAACUAUAUCAAGCUUUGAUAUUAUACCAUAAAA